CAGCACUCGAUACUAGCCGAGCUAUCUGCAUCCUGGCCUUGUGAAACAGGCUUGCGAUGUGUUGUGAUAACUGGGUUGAAGAAGUGCAAUAUUAAAACAAAAGCCGUGAGCUUUAAGCCCAGUGUGUAAAGACACACCCUGAGUUAUAACUCAGUGGCACAACU